rnacentral:rRNA from 1 species
UGAGGAAUAUUUGUCAAUGGACGAGAGUCUGAACCAGCCAAGUAGCGUGCAGGAUGACGGCCCUAUGGGUUGUAAACUGCUUUUGUUUGGGAAUAAUCGACAUUACGUGUAAUGUUUUGCAUGUACCAUUCGAAUAAGGACCGGCUAAUUCCGUGCCAGCAGCCGCGGUAAUACGGAAGGUCCAGGCGUUAUCCGGAUUUAUUGGGUUUAAAGGGAGUGUAGGCGGUUGGUUAAGCGUGUUGUGAAAUGUAGAUGCUCAACAUCUGACUUGCAGCGCGAACUGGCUGACUUGAGUACACACAACGUAGGCGGAAUUCCUGGUGUAGCGGUGAAAUGCUUAGAUAUCAUGAAGAACUCCGAUUGCGAAGGCAGCUUACGGGAGUGUUACUGACGCUUAAGCUCGAAGGUGCGGGUAUCGAACAGG